rnacentral:tRNA from 1 species
GGAGGAUUGGCAGAGUUGGUCGAAUGCACCGGUUUUGAAAACCGGCGUGGGGCAACCCACCGAAGGUUCGAAUCCUUUGUCCUCCG